GUUGGAAAUGUCAGAGUGAACGGCUCUGUGUGUGUUGUUUGAAGGUCAGUGAUGGCAGCUUAUGUGCAGUCACUGAGAUGCCGGACGAUGAGCUGGCGGUGGGUUGCAGCAACUGCUCUGUCUGUAUCUGGAAGCUGGAGCGGGAUGUCAAGAAGUGCAUUGUGGGACUCGGUAAGGUGUCUUCAUUCAAAGUGAAGUCUCCUAUGAGCUUUUUGUUCUACUGUGGCAGUCUGUUUGGAGUAUGUACGGAUGGAAAAAUCAUUGAUGUGGUCUCUACUAAAGACGAGAUCAGAGAAGUUUUUACCUGGGCAAACGAGGUAUAUCCUCUCGGCGUCAUGGUGAAUGAUAGCAAGAGCUUUUGGCUGUUGGGUCAGAAACAGGGCGUUCUGUACAUUGGCCUCAUUUUGUCUGUGAAUUCGAGUGGGUCUGACAUAACCUUUUGUGAAGAUGCAGUGGGCCAGAGGCCGGAUUACUUAGAGGAAGAGGAGGAAAGAGAUGAGAAAAUGGAGGAGCGGCGGCAGCAGGAGGAGAAGGAGAAGCAGCAGCCGGAGGAGGGGGAACAGCAGCAGGAGGAAGAACAGCGGCAGCAGCAGGAGCAGGAGGAGGAAGUGGAAGAGCAGCAGCAGCAGGAGGAAGAGGAGCCGAAGAAACUGAGUGAGGAACUGCGGAGGGAGAGGCAAAUUGCAAUCCAGAGGGCUGCGCAGAUCAGCACCUGGAUCACAGCCGCAGCAGUGCAGAACGGUACUAGGGCUGGGUUUUGACACAAAUUUCACGAUUCGAUUCGAUUCUCAUUCA
rnacentral:lncRNA from 1 species